UACGGAGGGUGCGAGCGUUGUCCGGAAUCACUGGGCGUAAAGGGCGCGUAGGCGGCGCGGGCAGUCAACGGUGAAAGCUCGGAGCUCAACUCCGAGUCGGCCGUCGAUACUCCCGUGCUUGAGCACUGUAGAGGCAGGUGGAAUUCCGGGUGUAGCGGUGGAAUGCGUAGAGAUCCGGAAGAACACCGGUGGCGAAGGCGGCCUGCUGGGCAGUAACUGACGCUGAGGCGCGACAGCCUGGGGAGCAAACAGG
rnacentral:rRNA from 1 species